UGCCCUUCUAUUCUGCACUGAUGAGACUUCACCUGGAUUACUGUGUCCCAGUGUGGAGUACUAGAGAAAUGUGGACCUGUUGGAGAGUGUUGGGGGGAAAUGGUUUCUAACUAGAAAGAAGAUUCAGAUUAGAUAUAAGGAAGAAAUUUUUAUGAUGAGUGGUGUCUCCAUCCCUGGGGACAUUCAAGAUCAGGCUGGAUGGGGCUCCGAGUAACCUGAUCUAGCUGUAGGCAUCUCUGUUCAUUUCAGGGUAGUUAGACUAGGUGACCUUGGAAGGUUCCUUCCAACUCAAAAGAUUCUACAUUUCUAUGAAGAAAGCAGAGGACUCAGCAAGAGGUUGCACUGCUGCAAAGAAGUAUCAGAAACAUGGAGUUGAUUGUAAUCAACUUGUUUCCUUGCUCCUUUUCUUUUUUCCCUCAGUUUUUGUCUAAAUUUCCUUGAAAUAUUUCCACUUUUCCUUUCCUUGUUUAUGUAUUUCAUACUGGAUUUCAAAGCAAUCUUGGGCAGCCCGUUUUUCAUAUGAUUUGAUGUCAUCUCAUCAGUUGAUUGCGUAUAAAGAGGGCUUAUAUGCCUACCCUUCAGCAGAACUUGAGGUGAUACAGAAAUAUUCUUCUGAUAAGCCACACCAGCAAAAAAUGAAAUGAAAUGAAAUAAAUGAAGUGGAAUAAUAUAAACCCAGAUGACAUCUGCUGUAUCCUAAGCAUGCUCCUACACUCAGACACCGAUUUGUUUAACUGAAUGAAAGUGAGCUGUGGCUGAGCAGCUCAGAUGGUGGUACCCCCUGCUCCAUGUCUGUCCCCACACCAGUGGGCACCUUGCCCCUUGCUGCAGCAUUAAGGGCUUCAUUCAUUUGGGACACACCAGGAAACUUUACACUUUUUUAAGGGAUGGUGCUCACCAGGGAAAGGGUGCCUGCAGUAAAGCAGUCUUUUUCUCUGGUGUAUAGAGACAGGUGCUAACAGUGAGCUAUGGAAUCCCCACACCCCUUUCCCAGGACACACAGCUGAGGCACUAACACCGGCUGUCUUUAUGGCUGUUCUUACUGUUUGAACACACCAGCCAAAUUUUACCAUAUGUAAGGUCCUUAUUUCCUAAGUUUCAUGG
ensembl:lncRNA